GGACGCAGGUAACUCCGAAGCCUAAUUCGCUAAGUUCGCCAGAAUAUGCGGGUUAGGCCGUGACCCUGAGUCACCAGGGCGGCCAUAGAAAUGUGUCCGUCUCCCGUAUUUGGAAAGGUGUUUCGUGGCUGUUCAA
rnacentral:ncRNA from 2 species